ACACAUUUUUCUAACACUUUUGCAGGUAGUUCCUCCUCAUCAAGGCGAAGCUCCAUCAAUGAUGUACUCCAUGAGAUACGCGCCCAAAACGCACUAAAUCAAGAGCGCGAUGGAUUAUUCUAUGCCAUGCAUCAACAACAAGAGGAGAUGAUGGAACGAAUGACAUUCAUGCAAGCCCAGCAAGACGAAAUUCUUCAAAACCAACAUGAGAUGCAGGGCUAUUAUCAUAGGUUUUGUGCUCCAAAGCUACACUUGAGUCUCAACAGUGAGGACACAGUUGGAUUUAAGUUUAGGGGAGUAUUCUACCAUCCUUACUUUAUUUCUCAGUUAUUUUAUUUUUAGUACAAUUUCCCUUUUCGCAAAUAAAAUAAUAGCACUAUUUUUGGGUAAAUUUUAAAUUUUUCCUUUCCUUGAACCAA